rnacentral:rRNA from 1 species
GAUGAACGCUGGCGGCGUGCCUAAUACAUGCAAGUCGAGCGAAGCGGGGGCGGGGGAGUAACACGUGGAUAACCCCCUAUAAGACUGGGAUAACUUCGGGAAACCGGAGCUAAACCGGAUACUGAUAGUUGGAUCCGCGCUGCAUUAGCUAGUUGGUAGGGUAACGGCUUACAAAGUCAACGAGACAUAGCCGACCUGAUAGGAUGAUCGGCCACACUGGAACUGAGACACGGUCCAGACUCCGACGGGAGGCAGCAGUGGGGAAUCUUCCGCAAUGGGCGAAAGCCUGACGAAGCAACGCCGCGUGAGUGAUGAAGGUCUUCGGAUCGUAAAACACUGUUAUUAGGGAGGCGGUACCUAAUCAAAAAGCCACGGCUAACUACGUGCCAGCAGCCGCGGUAAUAC